CCUACGGGAGGCAGCAGUGGGGAAUAUUGCACAAUGGGGGGAACCCUGAUGCAGCAACGCCGCGUGGGUGAAGAAGUACUCCGGUAUGUAAAGCCCUGUCAGCAGGGAAGAAAAUGACGGUACCUGACUAAGAAGCCCCGGCUAACUACGUGCCAGCAGCCGCGGUAAUACGUAGGGGGCAAGCGUUAUCCGGAUUUACUGGGUGUAAAGGGAGCGUAGACGGUAAGGCAAGUCUGGAGUGAAAGCCCGCAGCUCAACCACGGGACUGCUUUGGAAACUGGGUAGCUAGAGUGCGGGAGGGGUAAGCGGAAUUCCUAGUGUAGCGGUGAAAUGCGUAGAUAUUAGGAGGAACACCGGUGGCGAAGGCGGCUUACUGGACUGUAACUGACGUUGAGGCUCGAAGGCGUGGGGAGCAAACAGGAUUAGAUACCCGAGUAGUC
rnacentral:rRNA from 1 species